GGGAUUUGGUACUCCUUUCCAAUAUUUCUCCACAAAUUUCUUAGGAAUCCUCUGCAAUAUAUAAAGAAGAAUGAGAAAACAAGAACUGAACAAGACAGAUACAUAAAAGCAUAAAAAACAAAUAAGUUUAGGAGAUAAUAAAAAAAAACUUACGAUUUCUCCAUUUUGAAGUUCAUGAUUUUGGAUGAUCUUGAAGAACUUUGGAGUGUUAUACAAUGACAUGAUUGAGAUCUUGAAGAAAUGGAAUGAGAGUUGAGUUGAAUGAUAACAGAUGAGAAGUAAUGAGAGAGUGAGAGAUAGAUAGAUAAAGAUAAAGAUAAAUUACUACAUGAUUGCAUAUGAACUCAGAAAAUAAAAGCAGUAAAUGGAUAUAACACUUUUUCUGUUUGUGCUGCAUUUCUUUGCAAAUAACCUGCAUGUGUAUGGAGAAAGACAAAGAAAAGCUAGUUUUGUAACAAUUUACUACUGCUCCAAAUCUGCUUCUUACUUGCCAUUCUAUUUCUAGCUUAUUUUCUCAACCAAUUUUCAACUUUG
rnacentral:lncRNA from 1 species